AUUGAACGCUGGCGGCAGGCCUAACACAUGCAAGUCGAGCGGAGCGGCGGACGGGGGCGUAAUGCCUAGGAAUCUGCCUGGUCGUGGGGGAUGACGUCCGGUAACGGGCGCUAAUACCGCAUACUAUCAGAUUAGCCUCGGUCGGAUUAGCUGGUGGGUGGGGUAAAGGCCUACCAAGGCGACGAUCCGUAGCUGGUCUGAGAGGAUGAUCAGCCACACUGGGACUGAGACACGGUCCAGACUCCUACGGGAGGCAGCAGUGGGGAAUAUUGGACAAUGGGCGAAAGCCUGAUCCAGCCAUGCCGCGUGUAUGAAGAAGGCCUUCGGAUUGUAAAGCACUUUAAGCUGGGAAGCGGUAUCUACAGAAUAAGCACCGGCUAACUUCGUGCCAGCAGCCGCGGUAAUAC
rnacentral:rRNA from 1 species